rnacentral:rRNA from 1 species
UCGAGCGGUAACAGGGGUAGCUUGUUACCCGCUGACGAGCGGCGGACGGGUGAGUAAUGCAUAGGAAUCUGCCCGAUAGUGGGGGAUAACCUGGGGAAACCCAGGCUAAUACCGCAUACGUCCUACGGGAGAAAGGGGGCUCCGGCUCCCGCUAUCGGAUGAGCCUAUGUCGGAUUAGCUAGUUGGUGAGGUAAAGGCUCACCAAGGCGACGAUCCGUAGCUGGUCUGAGAGGAUGAUCAGCCACAUCGGGACUGAGACACGGCCCGAACUCCUACGGGAGGCAGCAGUGGGGAAUAUUGGACAAUGGGGGGAACCCUGAUCCAGCCAUGCCGCGUGUGUGAAGAAGGCCCUCGGGUUGUAAAGCACUUUCAGUGAGGAAGAACGCCUGGUGGUUAAUACCCAUCAGGAAAGACAUCACUCACAG